UGCGAUGGCGUGUGAUUGAAGGCCGGUAAGCUCACAGGAGGGCGCCACAGGUGUGGGGCGUGUGCGAUGGCGUGUGAUCGAAGGCCGGUAAGCUCACAGGAGUGUGCCACAGGUGUGGGGCGUGUGCGAUGGCGUGUGAUCGAAGGCCGGUAAGCUCACAGGAGGGCGUCACAGGUGUGGAGCGUGUGCGAUGGCAUGUGAUUGAAGGCCGGUAAGCUCACAGGAGGGCGCCACAGGUGUGGAGGGGAGGGCUUGGAGUAUCCCUGGGGCAGGAGUUGCCUGUGGCUUCUUGGAGGGGUACAGCGGAGCCCCAGGAGAUGGCUAAGCUCCUAAGCAGGGGAAGUAGGAGGUUGGGAAUGGGAUAGGGAGAGGAAGGAAAGAACAGGAAGGGUGGUGCCAGGUUGUCGGGAACCUUGGAAGUAAACUUGAGGAGUCUGACCGACUUCUCAGGGCAGUGGAAAGCAGGGCACGCUUUAUUGCUGAUGGGGCAAUCUGAUAGAAUCAGGAUUUUGGGGAAAUUCAUUUUGAGAGUAAUCAAACCAUGUCCAGUUAAGAUUGCAAGUUGGAAUUGAGGAUAGGAAAAUGGAGGCA
rnacentral:lncRNA from 1 species